UAACAGGAAGCAGCUUGCUGCUUCGCUGACGAGUGGCGGACGGGUGAGUAAUGUCUGGGAAGCUGCCUGAUGGAGGGGGAUAACUACUGGAAACGGUAGCUAAUACCGCAUAAUGUCGCAAGACCAAAGAGGGGGACCUUCGGGCCUCUUGCCAUCGGAUGUGCCCAGAUGGGAUUAGCUUGUUGGGUUUUUCUUCUCACCAAGGCAAGAUCCCUAGCUGGUUGAGAGGAUGACCAGCCACACUUAAUCCCUACACGNUGAAGCUCCUACNUGAAGUCCAGUG
rnacentral:misc_RNA from 1 species